ensembl:lncRNA
CUAAUGAGGGGCAGCUGCUAUAAAAGACUGCAGUUCAGCAUGUGGGAAGGUGGUAGAGUGGGGGGAGGGGAAUUAUAGAUGUUUCUUGUGGUUGGAAGGAUUUAGUAGCCCUAGGGAGGCAAUACCUUGCUCAUGGUAGGAGAUAUCAGCAAGCUAACACAGAUUGUAUCCUGGAGGAAAGGAUGAAGUAACAUAUGGUUCUACCUGCAAGAUGAGAAAUAGUGACUCUGAGAUCAAAAGACUUGUAGGAAUAAUCUGUGCUGAAUUUUAAGUUAUUCAGAAUAACAUUCAGAGGUUGUAUGUGCUGCAUAUGCAUGGAGGUAGGGAGGGAUUGUUGUGCAGACAUCAUGGAACAUGUUUUCAACACUGAUAUUUGCUUUUGGCAUCUAUCCUGAGUUAUUUUAUAUAUUUUUAAGUGAGUUUGGGCUUUAAUGACUACUUUUAAGCUUGUAUUUAUGUUUUUUCUUGGUUUAGGUAAGGAAAAAAAAAUGUUCAGCUUGGUUUUUUUCACCUCAGAAGUCUCUCAUCAACUUCUUUUCCAACAACAAUCCUACACUGUCCUGGUUUCCAGGGUCAGGCCAAAUUCUGCUAUCAGUUGCACCAAUGAAAUGAUGAUGAAAUGCUGAUCCUGGUGAUGAAACACUUGAAUUGUGGAGAGCAGUUUUGAUUUGUGGCUAUUGUGAUGUUGUUUUUACUUGAAUAGCUCUUACGGCAGUUUACUUUUUCCAGUUGUGCAGUAAAACACUUUUACUGUGGUUGGCUUAAUUCUCAAAGCUUAAAAAAAAAAAAAAAAUCUGUCUGUUUCUUUGUACUCAGUAUACCAGAGCUGAAAGCUCUAAUGUACUGUUACUUCAGGGUCACUGCUUAACUUCUGUUGACCCUCUUGUCCAUGAAUAUUCCCUUGAGUUCAUUACAGCAAUUUAGUUUCUGGAUUUUUUUUUUUUUUUUAAUGUAUGAGCUUAUACAUGGUUCUUAAAUAACUGCUACCAGAGUUGUUAAGAACCAUGAUUGAUCUAAGGUCAAAAACAAUUUACCACAUGCAGGAACACAAUCCAUUAGACACUUCACAUGAAUACCCAUUGUACUGCAAAGUUUAUGAGGGGAAAGAUGUGAGUGUUACAGACAGGGCAAUACAAAACAAAUAAAGAAAAACAGGUAGAGCACUGCAUAGCACAGAUCAGACAUACUAGCAAUUACUAUUCUGUCCUUUGGGAAAGUUCUGAGUUAAGUACCCACUGUUGUACGUUGCAGCUUUUUUCUUCAGGAAGAGGAAUACCAGGAAGGGAGAUCUUUAAGAGCUACUUAGAGUAGUGCAAGGGAAUGAGAGAAUAGCACUGAAGGCAACCCAAGGUUCCUGUCCAACCUUGCAAGGAAACGGUUGGGUAAAGGAGUUCCUUCCAGGUAGCCCUUGACAGGGCUGAGACAGCAAUCUACACUGCUUAUCUCUGCUGCUGAAGCUGCUUGGUGCCAAGACAGUCAUGUGGGCUGAAGAGAAACUGCAGACAUCCAAAGAGGUUGUCAAGACUACAGCUACAGUUUACCAAGAAUCUGCUUUUGCUCCAUGGGGAGGGCUUAAACUUGGAGAUCAAAGUGUCAUGAUGAACACUUAGCUGGCAUGGAUUUCUGACAUGAAAAAUCAUCAAGUGCUAUCCUUUGCUGGACUGUGGCUCACCAUUCCUCUCAUUAGGCACAUGGCCAGGCUCCAUGGGGUAUGUGGAAGCUGCAAAGACUAACAUCUGGAUGUUUGUACAGGGGCUAAGCUGCUCAGGGGAAGAUCAGAUCAACAUGCAAGGGCAAAUAACAGGAAAAACUCACUGCAAAGAGGAGUGGCAGCUGUCAGAAAGUAGGGGUUACUGCUUGGGGCAAGCCUAUUUCUUAGAAGAAGAGUACGCUUUCCUGCAGUGAAAUAAUUAUUGUUUCUGAGAGACAGGAACCACUACAGAAUCACUUUUCAAUCUGCAAAAUCCAAGCAGUGACCACUUCAAAGCAAGAUAAAAGGAGACGUUGAUCUGCUUUAGCCUCUGACUGUUCCUAGAGUUUUCUACUUCUUGAAGACUUUCCUGGCAAAGGAAGUAUUGCUACAAGUGGAAGGAAGAAGCCUGCUGUGCUCUUCUCUGAAGAUAUGUCUUCUCCUUAAGCCUUCUAUCAGCAUGUGUCACAGUGGCAUUUUGCAAAUUUGCUGUGCAUUCCUACACACCAAAUGUUUAUUACUCAUUUUAAGAUGUUUCAUCAGAACAUGGGAAAAUAUGCUAAGGUAUCUGGCCCAGCUGUAUAUAGAAGGUGAUUCAGUCCAGUGUAACCAGUUUUAAAAAAAAUGUCCCUGCUUGUCCACCUUGGUGUGGUCUUGGAAAGCCUACGCCAGAGAUGAAAGCUGCUGACAUGCUUUUGAAGCAGGUUUCAGGGCAUACAUAUGCCAUUCCUGUGUGAAGUUCAGGCUCUUCAGGUAUGUAGAAAUCAGGAUACUCUUGCAGAGGUCAAAUGAACAGAGAAGUAGAGACCAGAGAGGACCAAGGAACAAAAGGGCUGCACUGCAGCUGAAAAUUCAUCCUACUCUCUUUGGAAUUGAGCAAAUCUCUUCCAAAGUGUAUAGUGCAAAUUUCCUGUUUAUCACAGAGGAAAAGAUAUGGACUUGAGCAUGAAUCUGUGGUCCUUAACCAGACUGCACCAGCUAGGAAGACUUGGUGAUUUGUUUGCUGUUGGAGAAAGACUCUUCAAUAUUUCUCCUUGAAAUCAGGUACCUUCUCACCAAGAACUUAGCAGAAGUAAUACUAUGAGUGGGUAGACAAAAGUGAUGUAGGGAAAAACAGAACUCUAAUACCACAAAGUGUUAAUACAGCAAAAUGCUACGCUGCUUUUCAAAAAGAGCACAUGCUGUCUAAUGGGACUUAUGUGCUUGCCUAAGCUAUGCAAAUACCACAUAGAUGUAUGUUGGGCCAGAACAAAAGCAGGACUUACAUGUUUGAUGAAAAGGCGGGUAGAAAGGAAAGAGGAAAGGUCAACAUUUAAAGGAAAAAAAGGAAAGGAAAACUUAUAUUGUGAGACAGGAGCUUGUAUUGUGGAGACAGGGAGAUGAGAAUAUGGGAUACAAGACAGGAUAAAGGUGUCUUACCUGUUGUGUGACCCAGUGCAGUGCCAGAUACAUAGCACUAGUAAAACUGGGUCGUUUCUUCUUCUCUUUCACUUUUAUUUCUGUUUGCUUUCUCUUCUGUGUCAUCCUUGAGCAUCUUGCAGUUCUUCUACAGUUUUAGCGUAGCCUGCUGACCAGAACUAUACCGUUAAAGUCAGCCCUGUGACAAGCUAUCAGGGUGAUCUCUGGUUCUUCUCUGUCCUUAGGUCCUGUAGCUGUCACUGUACUGGACAUGACGAAUGAGAGUCUCAGCCACAACCUUUGCUGGAGUUACAAGGAUGGGACUUAGAACUCCCUGAUCCUGUUUCGGGCUUUGCUGCCUUGCAGUUGUCAAAGUUGAGCAAUGUCCCUAGAGUUUCUGGUCACAAGCAGGCAAAAGCAUUCCUUGGUGCAGUACUGCUGCUGCCUGUGUCAAUGUUGUUGCAAAGGCAGAUUAAUUGGAGGUCUGUGGGAACCAUCUGCAAUCCAGAUAAUUCCACUUUAGCUGGAGCUUUUUGUUUUCUCAUUUUGGAAGGGUGCUUCAAAAAAACCCCCAAAAACAUCAUACUCUUAAAAUCAUUGCAGAGUUCAAAUAGGAAUCAAAACUGGUUUGAAUUAAACUUCUUGUGUAACCUCAGAUGUUAUUCUGUUGUACGUUGUCUUGCUUGCUGAAAUGUUUCUCUUUAAUUUUUUUCCCCUCAGCCAUAGGCACAUUAUCACUACAAGAGAUAAUGAGACUGAGUUCCCGUGGCUACCACACCAUGAAUCUGAACUGUCUCUUUACACCCCUAGGAAGCACUCCAUAGCCAUAGAUUGAGGCAGAAGCGUGAGGCUGUUCAUGUGGGAGGUUUGUCAUGCUGCUGUCCUAGAGAUAAGCAGAAAGCUUCACUGAACAAAGCUGCACUAGCAUUAACCACACAGCUCUUAGAGACAGCGCACAGGCACAUCCUAAUUAAUCACAAUUAUGCAAACUCAGGCAUUUGCAUAUAGCACUGUGCAUGGAGUUGCAGGGAAUUUGGCAGUGAUGCCUCCUUGCUGUGACUCAGCCAAGAAGGGCACCUGCCCCAGGAAAUCAGACAGAGACAAGACCCUGGGCUCUCCCAGCUGGGAACAAGGGAAAAAAACAAAGGCUUGCUUAAGGUUGCGGUGUAGCUUCUAUUUCCCUACUUAAUGAGGAUGCUACCUCUCUGCUUUAUACUUU